GACGAACGCUGGCGGCGUGCUUAACACAUGCAAGUCGAACGGAAAGGCCCUGCUUUUGUGGGGUGCUCGAGUGGCGAACGGGUGAGUAACACGUGAGUAACCUGCCCUUGACUUUGGGAUAACUUCAGGAAACUGGGGCUAAUACCGGAUAGGAGCUCCUGCUGCACGGUGGGGGUUGGAAAGUUUCGGCGGUUGGGGAUGGACUCGCGGCUUAUCAGCUUGUUGGUGGGGUAGUGGCUUACCAAGGCUUUGACGGGUAGCCGGCCUGAGAGGGUGACCGGCCACAUUGGGACUGCGAUACGGCCCAGACUCCUACGGGAGGCAGCAGUGGGGAGUAUUGCACAGUGGGCGGAAGCCUGAUGCAGCGGCGCCGCGUGCGGGAUGACGGCCUUCGGGUUGUAAACCGCUUUCGCCUGUGACGAAGCGUGAGUGACGGUAAUGGGUAAAGAAGCACCGGCUAACUACGUG
rnacentral:rRNA from 1 species